CACACUUACACCCUAAUAAAACUCAUUCUAAGCCUGCUGCAACCACGUCUCCAUCUCAUUCCUCUUUCUCUCGUUGACUUACUCCUUCGGUGCAUCUCUGUUCUACACCGAUCACCUCCUACUGGAGAAGCCAUCAUUACCGGAAAAAGAUCGAGAACAAGAACACAUCACCAACGUUCCUCCUCUAGACAACUACAUCUCCUCUCUUUCUUUCUCUGUUUCGCUCAAACCCUACACCAGCCACCACCGCUAUCUUUUCCGACAAUGUCUUUAACGAUUUCUAAAUGGAAUGGCAUUAAACUGGUGAUGGACGAUAGCAGUCACGGUUGUUGCUGCCGGUAGAGGUGGACAACGACAAUCGGUAGUGAUGGAUGAUGGCAAUGGAGGUUGGUGGUGGCGGAGUGGUGUUUGAUCUUUAUUAACAGUGAAGGUGGUCGAUAAGAGAGGGAAUGGUAUGGGAUGGUGGGACCCAUAUGUUUUAUUAAAUAAUUUUUAAUAAAUCAAUAAUAAAUAAAUUGAAAAAGUAAAUAAAUAAGGGUAUUAUAGUCUUUUCAAGUUUUGCAGGGAUGAAAAGCGAAACAAAAACAAACAAUAGAGACGAUCCGAGUGCAAAAAAAAAAGUUAUGACCAAAUGCGUAUUUUUAAAUAAACCAUAGGGACGAUUUUAGUAAUUUAUUUAAUUUUUUUUUAAAUUCAUUUAUUAGCAUCAAUUAUUCCCACCUCGAAUUGUAUAAGAUUCCCUCUUCGAGUAAUCUGAAACCUUAACACUCACAUUAAUUCUCAA